CUACGGGAUGCAGCAGUGGGGAAUAUUGCACAAUGGGCGCAAGCCCGAUGCAGCCAUGCCGCGUGUAUGAAGAAGGCCUUCGGGUUGUAAAGUACUUUCAGCGGGGAGGAAGGGAGUAAAGUUAAUACCUUUGCUCAUUGACGUUACCCGCAGAAGAAGCACCGGCUAACUCCGUGCCAGCAGCCGCGGUAAUACGGAGGGUGCAAGCGUUAAUCGGAAUUACUGGGCGUAAAGCGCACGCAGGCGGGUUGUUAAGUCAGAUGUGAAAUCCCCGGGCUCAACCUGGGAACUGCAUCUGAUACUGGCAAGCUUGAGUCUCGUAGAGGGGGGUAGAAUUCCAGGUGUAGCGGUGAAAUGCGUAGAGAUCUGGAGGAAUACCGGUGGCGAAGGCGGCCCCCUGGACGAAGACUGACGCUCAGGUGCGAAAGCGUGGGGAGCAAACAGGAUUAGAUACCCGCGUAGUC
rnacentral:rRNA from 1 species